rnacentral:rRNA from 1 species
UACGUAGGGGGCAAGCGUUAUCCGGGUUUACUGGGUGUAAAGGGAGCGUAGACGGCCAGACAAGUCUGAAGUGAAAAUCCAGCGCUUAACGUUGGAAGUGCUUUGGAAACUGCCGGGCUGGAGUGCAGGAGGGGCAGGCGGAAUUCCUAGUGUAGCGGUGAAAUGCGUAGAUAUUAGGAGGAACACCAGUGGCGAAGGCGGCCUGCUGGACUGCAACUGACGUUGAGGCUCGAAGGCGUGGGGAGCAAACAGG